CGCUGGCGGCGUGCCUAAUACAUGCAAGUCGAACGCUUCCUACCGGUGCUUGCACCGGGAAAGAAGAGUGGCGGACGGGUGAGUAACACGUGGGUAACCUACCUACAAGCGGGGGGAUAACAUUCGGAAACGGAUGCUAAUACCGCAUAGAUCUUUUUUGUCUCCUGGCAGAAAGAAGAAAGACGGUUUCGGCUGUCACUUGUAGAUGGACCCGCGGCGCAUUAGUUAGCUGGUGAGGUAAUGGCUCACCAAGACGAUGAUGCGUAGCCGACCUGAGAGGGUGAUCGGCCACACUGGGACUGAGACACGGCCCAGACUCCUACGGGAGGCAGCAGUAGGGAAUCUUCCGCAAUGGACGAAAGUCUGACGGAGCAACGCCGCGUGAGUGAAGAAGGUUUUUUCCGGAUCGUAAAACUCUGUUGUUAGAGAAGAACAAGGAUGAGAGUAACUGCUCGUCCCUUGACGGUAUCUAACCAGAAAGCCAUGGCUAACUACGUGCCAGCAGCAGC
rnacentral:rRNA from 1 species